rnacentral:lncRNA from 1 species
UUUUCCUUCUGAUUCAUACCAGUGCAAGUCUGAAGGCAAUUAGGCCUGGACUGCGUUCAUUUGAUAAUAUGUCACGCUGAACGACAGCAUAUUUGGUAACAGCAAGCACUUGCCUAGAGCUUUCCACUGUCAGUGUUUGUGACAGCAGCUGUUAAUAUUGAAGGGAAAUAAAUGUGAUCUACAGCCAAGCUGACCUCUCAGGACUCCAGAGGGAUGCUAGAAAGCAAAGGAAAUUUGUCUGCGGUGUUAAAUUGCGAAGAGUCUGUGAUUUGUUUCCACAGAUUGAAAGCAUGGAAUGGAUCUCGGCAUUUAUCAGUCACUUAGCUUCGUUAUUUUGUGAACCAGUUCUGAACAACAGAGGCUAUAUAAAAUUACUCCGUAAUUAGCUCUGCAAAAUUGGAAUGGAGCGAUUUAUCAAAAGGAACGGCUAAGACCUCAGCUGAGCAAACCCCGCAUCCGCAUACUUGAAACUAAUUGUGAGGAUGGGACAAAUGCAGCCUGGAGCUGGGCAGGGAGUUGCGUAACUGCAGCCGGGUAACCUUAUCCAAGAGGAAGAAUAGCCUGCAGUGCAACCUGAAGAGGACAGUUUGAUUUUUGCGAGCCUGGUUCUUCGGAUGAGCUCUGCAGCAUCUUUUGACUGUGAUAAGAGUUCUGCACAGCGUGGACAUGAGGCAACAUGUUUCUCAAGGGAAGAAACAGUCCUUAUAACUGUCUGAGGACCUGUAUGCUGCACAAUUGAGAGCAUAAUAAGCUGUGAGCCUGGACUUGGCCAUUGGUAAUGACAGCGUCCAGCUAUUUUCUGGUGUCUGCUUUCUGCAAUGGAGAAUUUGAGGAAGGUGAACUCUGUGCUCCCUCUUUUGGUAGAUGCAGGAAUGUGGAAAAGAAGAACGGGGAUAAAACUUUGCCUGUAAUACUAGGGAAGUUGAGCGUAAACAUUUUCCUUUGCAUCUUGUCACAGAAUGAGUGGAGCAACAUGCAAUGUCAUCUGGGGAACAGGAGCGUGGUUUGAAGGAGACGUCACUGGGAAUGUAUAAUGUCCUAGGUGAGGGGGAUUCAGUGCCUUGGAGCAGUUGCAUGGUGAUAAGAUGAAAAAGCCUGAAAACAAAUGCCCCGAAAUGUAUUUAUGAUCAAG